rnacentral:rRNA from 1 species
GUGUUCCACGCUGUCGGUUCGCCGCCCGUCGGUGUUAACUGGCAUGUCCUGUGGAACGUCCUGCCGGUGGCGGUCCGGGCUCUCGGCUUGCGUAAAGGCUUCCGCCCGAAGCAGGUCGAAUAGUUCCGGCCGCCGAUCCAAUCCCGCCACGGUGCUCUUCACCGAGUGUCGAGGUGGGCCGGCACGUUUACUUUGAACAAAUUAGAGUGCUUAAAGCAGGCUGGUUUCCGCCUGAAUACUGUGUGCAUGGAAUAAUAGAAUAGGACCUCGGUUCUAUUUUGUUGGUUUUCGGAACCCGAGGUAAUGAUUAAUAGGGACAGGCGGGGGCAUUCGUAUUGCGACGUUAGAGGUGAAAUUCUUGGAUCGUCGCAAGACGAACCUAAGCGAAAGCAUUUGCCAAGUAUGUUCUCGUUAAUCAAGAACGAAAGUUAGAGGUUCGAAGGCGAUCAGAUACCGCCCUAGUUCUAACCAUAAACGAUGCCAGCCAGCGAUCCGCCGAAGUUCCUCCGAUGACUCGGCGGGCAGCUUCCGGGAAACCAAAGCUUUUGGGUUCCGGGGGAAGUAUGGUUGCAAAGCUGAAACUUAAAGGAAUUGACGGAAGGGCACCACCAGGAGUGGAGCCUGCGGCUUAAUUUGACUCAACACGGGAAACCUCACCAGGCCCGGACACCGGAAGGAUUGACAGAUUGAGAGCUCUUUCUUGAUUCGGUGGGUGGUGGUGCAUGGCCGUUCUUAGUUGGUGGAGCGAUUUGUCUGGUUAAUUCCGAUAACGAACGAGACUCUAGCCUGCUAACUAGGCGAUUUCCGGUACCCACAAUAGUGUUACCGGCGAUUCAAUUUCUUCUUAGAGGGACAGGCGGCUCCUAGCCGCACGAGACUGAGCAAUAACAGGUCUGUGAUGCCCUUAGAUGUCCUGGGCCGCACGCGCGCUACACUGAAGGAAUCAGCGUGUCUUCCCUGGCCGACAGGCCCGGGUAACCCGUUGAACCUCCUUCGUGCUAGGGAUUGGGGCUUGCAAUUGUUCCCCAUGAACGAGGAAUUCCCAGUAAGCGCGAGUCAUAAGCUCGCGUUGAUUACGUCCCUGCCCUUUGUACACACCGCCCGUCGCUACUACCGAUUGAAUGAUUUAGUGAGGUCUUCGGACUGGUGCGCGGCGGUCGGCUUUGCCGGCCGCCGAUGUUGCCGGAAAGAUGACCAAACUUGAUCAUUUAGAGGAAGUAAAAGU